CCAUCCCCAUAAGCUGUUUUGUUCUCUAUUUCCAGUAUCUGCAAUGUGCCAUGCACUUUGUAGGUGCUCAAUACAUGUCUGUUGAAUGAAUAUAUACCUUUAAGAAAUGACCAGGCCAGGUGUGGUGACUCACGCCUGUAAUCCCAGCACUUUGGGAGGCUGAGGGGGGGUGGAUCUCUUGAGCCCAGGAGUUCAAGACCUGCUUGGGCAACAUAGUGAGACCCCCCCCAUCUCUACAAAAAAUUGAAAAAUAUUAUCUAGGCAUGGUGGCGUGCACCUGUGGUCCCAGCUACUUUGAAGGUUGAGGUGGGAGGAUCACUUAAGCCCAGGAGGUCAAGGGUGCAGUGAGCUGUGAUUGCGCCACUGCACUCCUGCCCAGGCGACAGAACAAGACCCUCACACACACACACACACACACACACCCCAUAAUGGGGAACACAGAGCUGGCUCAUAAACAGCUGCCUCAUUCUUGUUCACAGCACAUAGUAUUCCACGGCAUUUUUUAGAUUAAUUUCCUAUGAUGGACAUCUAGGUGGGUUCUGACCUUCAGUAUUUCAAACAAUGCAGCUGAAACGAUGUGCUGCUAACAUAGCACAAGCAUUUAUCCUUGUGUUUCUCAGUAGGAUAAGUCCCUAGAUGUGUGAUUGUUAGGUCAAAAGGUACGCUCAUUUAAAAUUCUGAUCAUAUUUCCAAGUUGUUCUCCAAACUGGCAGACCCAGCCAGUUCUCUCUCCCUGACAACAGUGGAUAAACACUGCUGUUUCCCCAUCUGCUCCAACAUCAUGCAGUAUCAGACUUUUUGAUCUUGGUCAAUAGGGAUCGGUAUUUCUGUGUUCAGUCGGCAUUCCUCUAAUAUGGUAGUGAAGCCUAGUUUCCUUUGGAACUUUUCCAGGGGUCACACCGGCCAAGGCCUGAUUGGAGAUGCCUGGGACCCUGCUGAGCUAGCCGUCCCCCCAACGCUGGCCGCAGCCACGACUCCGAGCGCUGCUCCUUGUUUUUCUGCGCUUUCCUUUCUCCCCCACAAGCUUCUGAUUCUUGGAACCAGGCUUGGUGACCUCACGCGAGUGACUUCAUAUCCGGGACUUUCUGGGAAUUCUCAGCAGCACUUUUUCGCCGCCAUCUCCAACCAAUUGGACUGAGUCUUCUGUCAUUCGGGUCACCGCCGCUGAGACGCCUUCCCUGACCACCCAAGUUGAAGGAACUGCCAACCUUUCCCUUUUGGACUUUUGUAUUUCCUUCACAGUAUUUCUCCCCUCUAAAAUUAUCUUGUCUGCUUCUACCUAUAUUGUCUUCCCUCUUGAAACCAAAGUUUCAUAAGCUGAGGCAGAAAUUCUGCCUUGUUCAUCUCUGUUCUCAGCACCCUGAACAGAGCCUGGCAUGAAUGAGGUGCUCAAUAAAAGUUACUUGGAUGAAUGGGC
rnacentral:lncRNA from 1 species